UGAUCUUCUUUUUCUCUAAUUUCCAUAACAUUUGUGGGGACAAUUAUCAUAGUGUGGUAUUUUAUAUUUUUCUAAAAAAUUGUUGAUGCCAUGCUUAAAUAAGUUGUAAUGUCAAUCUAACUCGGUUGCACUGUUCAUUGAUCACUUUCACACUGUCUUCUUCUUCGUUUGUUUUGUUUUGUUUUUUGGUUCAUUUCCAAUACAAUUGUGAUUGAAAUCAGUUGAAUCACAGAUGAUGAUGGUUCUUAUUUAGAUCCUUUGUUGGAGACACUGUGGAAUAUAUUAUCAUGUGCGUCAUACUCCUUUCUAAGAUCUAUCUUCAUGCUUUCAUAUACAGGUGUUCUCAGCUUUUGGCUUUGUCCACAAGAUUGCAACUUUUGAGAAGGCUGCAGGUUUUCAGACAUUGAUCCAAUUCAGUGAUGCUGAGACUGCAGCUGCAGCAAGAGAUGCAUUGGAUGGAAGAAGCAUACCCAGGUACUUGCUUCCAGACCAUGUUGGUUCAUGCCACUUGCUCAUCUCAUAUUCAGCGCACACAGACUUGAAUAGUAAGUUCCAAUCUCAUUGAAGCAGGUAAUAAUGAAUCCAGCUGGCCAGUAAUUUGAUGUUUUUUUAUUCUGUAUUUGGCUAUAAUCAACGCUUGCUCUUUCAUCAUUAUGCUUCUAUGAUUAUGAUUUUUGGUGAUUGAGGUCUUGCUAAUUGAUGCAUGUGGUUUUUGUUAACUAGGGGUUAGUCAAGCUCGGCAGCUAGAACACAGAUGUGUUUUUCAUGGCCUCUUAGUAAUUUUCUUAAUCUUAUUGUAGUUGUUUAAUAUGUUCCUGUAAUUUCACUGUAGUUGAAAUUUUUUGGAUCUCAUUAGUUUAUAUCUAGUAAAUGCAUUGAACGAACACAUCUCACCUUUUGUCUUAUUUAUUCAGUUAUUCGUAAAUGGCAAAUACCCUCGUCAUAUAUUACGACAGAUGCUUUACAAUCAUGUUGAACCUCCACUGUCAAUGACAUGAAGUUUCAGUUGCACUUUUUGUCUUUUGUUCUUGUUUUUUAGUUUGUGUUGUUCAUGUGUCUUUUUAAACAUACAUCUUAUCUGCAGCCUGUAUUCAGGGAUGGCAACAGGUUGGGUAUGAGUCAGGGGGGUAUACCCUUCCCCGCCUCAUAUAAAAAAAAAAAAAUUGCAAAUAAAAAAAUUAUGUAGUGACCUUCUUGAAGACAAACAUGCUUUCACAAAGUAAAAUUUCCUCUUCAAGCAACCUAAAACAAUAAAAUUGCAAAUGUAGAACACUUUAUUUGUAUUUUUUUUUCUUUUUCUUUUAUUUUUUUCUAUUUCCUCUGUUUUUUUAGUAACCAAAAAAAUUCUAAAAAUAUUGAAAUUCAAGAGUCUCUAACAAUCAAGAAAAUCAUUGAUGCAUUAGUGGAAAAAAUACAAGACAAAUGAAGUUGGAAAUCAACAUUGCCACCACCUCUGUUGACUUGUUCCACCAUUGUUCUCUUUGGGGACCCAUUCGUUGCCCACCUACUGUGUGGUUCAAGCAGUCCUCCUCCAACCCAACUUUGACUCGGAGAUAUAAAUCACCAAUCUCUAAACCAAUUGAGCUUCUUUUUUAAAACAAGUGGUGUAAUGUCUCCCAUCCUGAAUUGAAACGAUAAUGUUUGAUUUGGGCUACCCUUGUGACUUUAAAACACGCUGUUAUUAGGAAGAGAUGUGAACUCGUUUAUAUAUCCCAAGAAGUUUUCAGAAGUCAGAACCACACGUCCUUGUGUGGUGUGUGAUGAUGCAUUUAACUUUGCACAAAAAAUGGAACAAAAAAUAUGUCGAAAGGUGGGGACAAGAAAGCAAAGACUUCUGAAGUAGCAAGGGAAGCUUCUCUGGAUCCUCUGGCACAGAAGCUCUAACAACAAAGAUUGGAAGAAUUUGAUUAGUGACAAGUGUGCAGCAACUGUUAUACUACUCAAUUUGGAGUAGUUCUGGCUUA